rnacentral:tRNA from 1 species
GAGGAUAUAGCUCAGUGGUAGAGCAUGUGCUUAGCAUACACAAGAUCCUGGGGUCAAUCCCUACUACCUCCA